rnacentral:rRNA from 1 species
GACGAACGCUGGCGGCGUGCUUAACACAUGCAAGUCGAACGGAAAGGCCCUGCUUUUGUGGGGUGCUCGAGUGGCGAACGGGUGAGUAACACGUGAGUAACCUGCCCUUGACUUUGGGAUAACUUCAGGAAACUGGGGCUAAUACCGGAUAGGAGCUCCUGCUGCAUGGUGGGGGUUGGAAAGUUUCGGCGGUUGGGGAUGGACUCGCGGCUUAUCAGCUUGUUGGUGGGGUAGUGGCUUACCAAGGCUUUGACGGGUAGCCGGCCUGAGAGGGUGAGCGGCCACAUUGGGACUGAGAUACGGCCCAGACUCCUGCGGGAGGCAGCAGUGGGGAAUAUUGCACAAUGGGCGGAAGCCUGAUGCAGCAACGCCGCGUGCGGGAUGACGGCCUUCGGGUUGUAAACCGCUUUCGCCUGUGACGAAGCGUGAGUGACGGUAAUGGGUAAAGAAGCACCGGCUAACUACGUG